rnacentral:rRNA from 1 species
UGGGGAAUAUUGCACAAUGGGCGCAAGCCUGAUGCAGCGACGCCGCGUGGGGGAUGACGGCCUUCGGGUUGUAAACCCCUUUCGCUAGGGACGAAGCUUUUUGUGACGGAACCUAGAUAAGAAGCACCGGCUAACUACGUGCCAGCAGCCGCGGUAAUACGGAGGGUGCGAGCGUUGUCCGGAAUUACUGGGCGUAAAGGGCUCGUAGGUGGUUUGUCGCGUCGGCUGUGAAAUUCCGGGGCUUAACUCCGGGCGUGCAGGCGGUACGGGCAUGACUUGAAUACUGUAGGGGUAACUGGAAUUCCUGGUGUAGCGGUAAAAUGCGCAGAUAUCAGGAGGAACACCGAUGGCGAAGGCAGGUUACUGGGCGGUUACUGACGCUGAGGAGCGAAAGCAUGGGUAGCAAACAGG